GUUAAGGUUUAGGGAAUUGAGAAUAGGUUAAGGUUUAGGUUAAGGAGUUGAGAUUAUGAUUAGGUGUAGGUUUAGGUAUAGGGAUUUGAGAAUACAUUUAGGUUUUAGGUUUAAAUUUAGGUUUAAGUUUAGGUUUAGGUUUAGGUUAUAGGU